ACCGUUACCCAUAACCUUCUUUAAAUAUGUGAGGUCUCAUAAUUUUUACUAAUAUCCUUCUUCCUGUAUGUGACCUUUGGAAAACUCUCUGUCGUUUAGUUCAUCGUCAAUGUUCUUUUCGUGUCGAGACUCGGGCCCAUUCGCAUCCCUCCCACUGCUUUCUUCGAUUAUGUAUCCCUAGAACCUUGACGUGGAAGCUGGGUAUGACUGGCGGAUCGGAACACAAGUAUGGAGAAGUAAGAAUCAGAGUAUUGCGCAAAAAGUCAAUAGAGUCGUUCAGGUAAUGGUCAAAUGAAGUGUUAACGCUUAAUCUUCACAAGAGAUAAGAAGAAAGACUUUUUCGUAAUGCAAAUGUGAGUAUCUUCAGAUUUGUCUCCUGCUUUGGUUCUUCCCGUCCUGUUAUACAAAAAGCAUAUCCUCUCUGGAAAAUGAUACAAGAAGGAGACGGAACAAGAGAAAGAGCCUGGAUCUGUUCCUGAGGAAGGUGGAGAAACUGUGGCGAAAGAGGAUGGCGUAGAAAGAAGAAGAAGAAGAAGAAGAACAAGGAGCUAGAUAAAAAGGAAGAGAGUGGAGAGGAUGUUACUGAUGGAGCUGAACAUGGAAAUGAUGAAGAUGUUGUGGAGCAAGGGCUUGACUUUUUGAUGCCACCAGAUGGAGAGAGGUGGAGACCGGUGGGGAUCAGAUUCAGACUCGGAAGAUGAUCCGAUAGGUUUGUUUCUCUCGUGUAGGUUUGUCCAAACUGCCAAUUAGAAGGUGCCACAUCAUUGCUAACGACAGUCUGGUAGUGACCUUGAACGAGAGGCUUUGGUCGUUGAGGUAAGAGUUGCUCUGCCAGUUUUGUCCCCAGUUCCUAGACAUAGCUCGCCACGACCCUGUCUUUGAGCCUCUUAUCGAGACCCCAUGGACGUCUCCUGCUCCUCCUACGUUCGAGAUCAGAACUAGGUUGAAGUAUGAGUGUCCGUUUAUUGUAAAUCUUAUCCCUCCUUUCUUCGUACACGGGGUACUCUGCAUUUAUACACCAUUGAAGACAACAUAACUCAAUAGUUUAGUUCAACGCUUUAGAAAUAGCUCGACGGUAAUUAGUUACUUUGUAUUGUUCAUUGAUGAACCUAUAUGAACCUAGCUAGAUGUUAACAAAUUAUCUAUUUAUUUGUGAAGUUGAUGAAGAUGGCGAAAAUAGUGUGGAUGAGACUCUUGAAAGUAAAAAGAGGAAACCUGAAGAAGUCAGUUCCAGUAACCUUCCUUCGAAGAAGAUCAAGAAUAAGAAGAACAAGAAGGUCAAAACAACAGUGUCAUAAGAGUUAGAUUAGUUUUAAAAAUAUUUAUAAAUGACUUAUGAGAGUUAGAUUAGUUUUAAAGGAUGGAUUUAGAUAAACGUUUUUGAUUAGUGAUUUCAACUUUGUGAUAAAUUUGUAAUUUCUUCUUAACAUUAUUAGAAGAAGCUUCAUAGGAAAAUUUGUAAUUUCUUCUAAACAUCAUUUUAACUGAUGUUAUGAAAUAUGAAACACAUUAGAACAAAGAGAAGUUCUCCACGUUAAAGAA